UUCUAGCUUGCUAGAAGAUGACGAGCGGCGGACGGGUGAGUAAUACUUAGGAAUCUACCUAGUAGUGGGGGAUAGCACGGGGAAACUCGUAUUAAUACCGCAUACGACCUACGGGAGAAAGGGGGCAGUUUACUGCUCUCGCUAUUAGAUGAGCCUAAGUCGGAUUAGCUAGAUGGUGGGGUAAAGGCCUACCAUGGCGACGAUCUGUAGCUGGUCUGAGAGGAUGAUCAGCCACACCGGGACUGAGACACGGCCCGGACUCCUACGGGAGGCAGCAGUGGGGAAUAUUGGACAAUGGGGGAAACCCUGAUCCAGCCAUGCCGCGUGUGUGAAGAAGGCCUUUUGGUUGUAAAGCACUUUAAGCAGUGAAGAAGACUCUGUGGUUAAUACCCACAGACGAUGACAUUAGCUGCAGAAUAAGCACCGGCUAACUCUGUGCCAGCAGCCGCGGUAAUACAGAGGGUGCAAGCGUUAAUCGGAAUUACUGGGCGUAAAGGGAGCGUAGGUGGCUCGAUAAGUCAGAUGUGAAAUCCCCGGGCUCAACCUGGGAACUGCAUCUGAUACUGUCGUGCUAGAGUAUGUGAGAGGAAGGUAGAAUUCCAGGUGUAGCGGUGAAAUGCGUAGAGAUCUGGAGGAAUACCGAUGGCGAAGGCAGCCUUCUGGCAUAAUACUGACACUGAGGCUCGAAAGCGUGGGUAGCAAACAGGAUUAGAUACCCUGGUAGUCCACGCCGUAAACGAUGUCUACUAGUCGUUGGGUCCCUUGAGGACUUAGUGACGCAGCUAACGCAAUAAGUAGACCGCCUGGGGAGUACGGCCGCAAGGUUAAAACUCAAAUGAAUUGACGGGGGCCCGCACAAGCGGUGGAGCAUGUGGUUUAAUUCGAUGCAACGCGAAGAACCUUACCUGGUCUUGACAUAUCUAGAAUCCUGCAGAGAUGCGGGAGUGCCUUCGGGAAUUAGAAUACAGGUGCUGCAUGGCUGUCGUCAGCUCGUGUCGUGAGAUGUUGGGUUAAGUCCCGCAACGAGCGCAACCCUUGUCCUUAGUUACCAGCGGGUUAAGCCGGGAACUCUAAGGAUACUGCCAGUGACAAACUGGAGGAAGGCGGGGACGACGUCAAGUCAUCAUGGCCCUUACGACCAGGGCUACACACGUGCUACAAUGGUAGGUACAGAGGGCAGCUACACAGCGAUGUGAUGCGAAUCUCAAAAAGCCUAUCGUAGUCCAGAUUGGAGUCUGCAACUCGACUCCAUGAAGUAGGAAUCGCUAGUAAUCGCGGAUCAGAAUGCCGCGGUGAAUACGUUCCCGGGCCUUGUACACACCGCCCGUCACACCAUGGGAGUUGAUUGC
rnacentral:rRNA from 1 species